UACGGAGGGUGCGAGCGUUGUUCGGAAUCACUGGGCGUAAAGCGCGUGUAGGCGGCCCACUAAGUCUGAUGUGAAAGCCCGGGGCUCACCCCGGGAAGUGCAUUGGAAACUGGUGGACUCGAGUCCCGGAGAGGAGAGUGGAAUUCCUGGUGUAGCGGUGAAAUGCGUAGAUAUCAGGAGGAACACCGGUGGCGAAGGCGGCUCUCUGGACGGUGACUGACGCUGAGACGCGAAAGCGUGGGGAGCAAACAGG
rnacentral:rRNA from 1 species